GAUGAACGCUGGCGGCGCGCCUAACACAUGCAAGUCGAACGAUUAAAGCACCUUCGGGUGUGUAUAAAGUGGCGAACGGCUGAGUAACACGUGGGCAACCUGCCCCUUUCAUUGGUAUAGCCACGGGAAACCGUGGAUAAUACCGAAUACUUCGAGACUUCCGCAUGGAAGACUCGAGAAAGCUCCGGCGGAGAGGGAUGGGCCCGCGGCCUGUUAGCUUGUUGGUGGGGUAACGGCCUACCAAGGCAAUGAUGGGUAGCUGGGUUGAGAGACCGACCAGCCAGAUUGGGACUGAGACACGGCCCAGACUCCUACGGGAGGCAGCAGUGGGGAAUCUUGCACAAUGGGCGAAAGCCUGAUGCAGCGACGCCGCGUGCGGGAUGAAGGCCUUCGGGUUGUAAACCGCUUUCAGCAGGGACGAGGCGAAAGUGACGGUACCUGCAGAAGAAGCCCCGGCUAACUACGUG
rnacentral:rRNA from 1 species